AUGGAGAACCCUAGCGGGAGUGAAAGAUGGAACAGAGCAGGGAUUGAAGAUAACAUGUUGGCCAUGUUUGAUGCCUCCGAAGCUAAGGAUGCUCAUCAAGAUGCACUCGAUGACCGAAUUGCUUUUCUUGAUGCUGUUCGUGCUUCUUCAAUUGUGCCUGAACAUGGAAAACCCCCCACUUCAAAAAUUUUUGGGGCGGUCUUCCACAUGCUGAGGACGGGGAAGUCUUUAGAGUUGAUUAUGGGAAGUUAUAAGCUUCUGGUUGAUUUAGACAAGCAUUUCCCCCGUGUGUAUUUAUCUGAUGUAGAUGAUUGCCAAUCCACCUCUAACUCUCCUUCAAAAUUGGUUGUGGUGAAAGAGGCAUGGUCUCCCAUUAUUAGUUGCAUGGAUAAUGCCACUGCUGCUGUUAGUGAAGUGGGUGGCAAACAGUCUAGUGGACCUCUUGACCCCUCUAGCUUUCAGCUUCUGAUCGAAGAGCUCACUGAAAUUUUAGCUGACAUCAACGUUCAAGCAGCAAGCGUGCGGCCCUUUCAGAACAUGUUACUCUUUCAGUAUAUUAUCACUGUUUUUGAGGGCGAUUUUCUACCUCGUAAUGACACCUUGAACUGGAGCAUGCAGAGGGAGUCUUUGCUCAACCUGUUACUGGUGUCUAGGAAAAUAAAUUACAAAAGUUUGAUGAAGAAUUGUAUGACAAUUAUUUGUCAACUAUCUCAACAUCUUCAAAAUGAAUGCAGUAAAUAUCUAGAGCAAGAAAGUUCUGAAUCUCAAUUAUCCAAAAAUUGUUAUACUGCAUUAUCUCUUGGUUUACUUGUAGUAUUAAAGAACACACGUGUCUCUAUGGAGAAACUUUUGGUGAUGAUUAUGGACCUAGAUAUGGCAAGGAAGAAAGCAGAUAUUGAAGGUCACACUACAAGAGCAGAUGGUGCAAGAACACCGUUGAUGGACAUAAUUCUUGAUGAACUAGCUUACAGCAAAGAUGCUGUGCCUGUUUUUCUUAAGAACUUCCGCGAACCUAAUUGGAAGCUGGAAAUAGUUGUGCAGUAUCUGUGGAAAUACAUAACCAAGCCUUCUGUUUGCACACGUAAGUCAAAUGAUCAUGCUGAAGAUCCAACAUUUGAUGGGGCUUUGAAGUGCUUCUCAAAUAAAACUGGUGCCAAGAGCUUAAUUAAAAAACUUGGUGCAGAUGUAGUUCAGUUCCUUCUUGCUCAUGGUUUUCAGGCUCAAUUGUCAAUGUUGUCAGAUGGAGAUGCUGAUGACAACAUUGCUCCUGACAAAGAAGGAAGAGCCAGUGCUCUUGUGGAUUUGUGCCGGACUUUUAUCUCUGCUUUUGAUAGUUUGAGAAGCACAUACGAGCAUAUGGAGAUUGUGUCGAUAGGAAAAGAGGCACUAUUUGCUGCAGCAGCUAUUAUCUCCAUGAAGUCAUAGAAGUGUAAGUAACUGCAUUGAUUUGAUUGGCUCGUUCUGUCUGUUAACACAGGAUCAACUCUAUGCAACUGUAUUUAAUAAACCACCAUUGUUUCAGUCUACAAAACUGCUGUCAGUUUGGAUCCUGACUGCAAGGAACCAGGAAGAUGUAUAUGUUACUUAUUGGGGUAAUUGUAACUAUAUAUAUCGACUAGAAGCAGA